GAUGAACGCUGGCGGCGCGCCUAACACAUGCAAGUCGAACGAGCGAGAGAGAGCUUGCUUUCUCAAGCGAGUGGCGAACGGGUGAGUAACGCGUGAGGAACCUGCCUCAAAGAGGGGGACAACAGUUGGAAACGACUGCUAAUACCGCAUAAGCCCACGGGUCGGCAUCGACCAGAGGGAAAAGGAGCAAUCCGCUUUGAGAUGGCCUCGCGUCCGAUUAGCUAGUUGGUGAGGUAACGGCCCACCAAGGCAACGAUCGGUAGCCGGACUGAGAGGUUGAACGGCCACAUUGGGACUGAGACACGGCCCAGACUCCUACGGGAGGCAGCAGUGGGGAAUAUUGCACAAUGGGGGAAACCCUGAUGCAGCGACGCCGCGUGGAGGAAGAAGGUCUUCGGAUUGUAAACUCCUGUUGUUGAGGAAGAUAAUGACGGUACUCAACAAGGAAGUGACGGCUAACUACGUGCCAGCAGCCGCGGUAAAACGUAGGUCACAAGCGUUGUCCGGAAUUACUGGGUGUAAAGGGAGCGCAGGCGGGAAGACAAGUUGGAAGUGAAAUCUAUGGGCUCAACCCAUAAACUGCUUUCAAAACUGUUUUUCUUGAGUAGUGCAGAGGUAGGCGGAAUUCCCGGUGUAGCGGUGGAAUGCGUAGAUAUCGGGAGGAACACCAGUGGCGAAGGCGGCCUACUGGGCACCAACUGACGCUGAGGCUCGAAAGUGUGGGUAGCAAACAGGAUUAGAUACCCUGGUAGUCCACACCGUAAACGAUGAUUACUAGGUGUUGGAGGAUUGACCCCUUCAGUGCCGCAGUUAACACAAUAAGUAAUCCACCUGGGGAGUACGACCGCAAGGUCGAAACUCAAAGGAAUUGACGGGGGCCCGCACAAGCAGUGGAGCAUGUGGUUUAAUUCGACGCAACGCGAAGAACCUUACCAAGUCUUGACAUCCCUUGACGAACAUAGAAAUAUGUUUUCUCUUCGGAGCAAGGAGACAGGUGGUGCAUGGUUGUCGUCAGCUCGUGUCGUGAGAUGUUGGGUUAAGUCCCGCAACGAGCGCAACCCUUACUGUCAGUUACUACGCAAGAGGACUCUGGCAGGACUGCCGUUGACAAAACGGAGGAAGGUGGGGAUGACGUCAAAUCAUCAUGCCCUUUAUGACUUGGGCUACACACGUACUACAAUGGCGUUAAACAAAGAGAAGCAAGACCGCGAGGUGGAGCAAAACUCAGAAACAACGUCCCAGUUCGGACUGCAGGCUGCAACUCGCCUGCACGAAGUCGGAAUUGCUAGUAAUCGUGGAUCAGCAUGCCACGGUGAAUACGUUCCCGGGCCUUGUACACACCGCC
rnacentral:rRNA from 1 species